CCAAAUAGCCAAUCGCCAAAACUGAAGAUAAAACAAAAAAUGGCGGUCUGCUGUUCGUCGCUCCCAGUUCUCUCUGCCGUUUCAACCCCAAAACUCAGCUCCGAUUCAUUUAUUAGGACUGGGAUUAGGGUUUUGAACCUCAACACCAAAGUUCCCUUGCCCUCCAGCUUUUACCGGAACCCGGGGAAGAAUCGCAGGUCUACGAAGUUAAACCGUGCUGGACUGUCCGAGAUCGAGCCCGAUCUCAACGAAGAUCCCGUUGACCGUUGGGGCAUAAACAGUGUUGACCCUGAUGAUUUCAAGUACGGGGAGUACGAUGGACACCACACGUACCACGAAGGCGAAGAGAAAGGAACUUUUUGGGGAGCCAUAGCAGAAGAUAUUGCAGCAGUAGAACCUCCUACGGGUUUUCAGGGGUUAAUUUCAUGGCUCUUCCUCCCAGCAAUUGCCACUGGGAUGUUCAUGCAUGUUCCGAUGGUGUACUUGUUCAUCGGAACAGGCUUGUUUGUGACAGUAUUUACCAUAAUUGAGAUGGAUAAGCCAGACAAACCUCACAACUUUGAACCUCAAAUAUACAAUAUGGAUAGGGGAUCUCGUGAUAAGUUGAUAGCUGACUACAAUAGCAUGAGCAUAUGGGAUUUCAAUGAGAAAUAUGGGGACCUCUGGGAUUUCACUGUGAAAAAGGAUGAUAUAACAAAGAGAUAAUAUCUCCUUAGCAUAUUGCAUUGUCACGAGAAUUCAUAAUCAAGAUGAGAAUGGAGGCAUAUUGCAGAGAUGGAACAUAGCAGCAAUGAUAUAAUUGGAGGUCACUGGGGCAAAUUUCAUUUGCCAGCUGGGAGAGAGAGGAGGGAGGGAUGCGGGAUGGGUAUUUAUUAGGAUAUUUGAAUUUCGCAGUUCCUAAUGGCUAUGGAUUAUUACCUAUCAGUUGAGUAGCUGUACGAGCCACGAGGAGUGCUCUGUGAGCUGACUUCGUUAUUCUAUCUUUACCAACUUAUACCGUGUCUUCUGAAUUCUGCUAUUUGUCAUAUUUUGACAGUAUUUGUUGUUGAUGUUCAUCUUCAUUUCA